GACGAACGCUGGCGGCGUGCUUAACACAUGCAAGUCGAACGGAAAGGCCCUGCUUUUGUGGGGUGCUCGAGUGGCGAACGGGUGAGUAACACGUGAGUAACCUGCCCUUGACUUUGUGAUAACUUCAGGAAACUGGGGCUAAUACCGGAUAGGAGCUCCUGCUGCAUGGUGGGGGUUGGAAAGUUUCGGCGGUUGGGGAUGGACUCGCGGCUUAUCAGCUGGUUGGUGGGGUAGUGGCUUACCAAGGCUUUGACGGGUAGCCGGCCUGAGAGGGUGACCGGCCACAUUGGGACUGAGAGACGGAGCAGACUCCAACGGGAGGCAGCAGUGGGGAAUAUUGCACAAUGGGCGGAAGCCUGAUGCAGCAACGCCGCGUGCGGGAUGACGGCCUUCGGGUUGUAAACCGCUUUCGGCUGUGACGAAGCGUGAGUGACGGUAAUGGGUAAAGAAGCACCGGCUAACUACGUG
rnacentral:rRNA from 1 species